AUCGCUUCUCGGCCUUUUGGCUAAAUCAAGUGUAGUAUCUGUUCUUAUUCAGUUUAAUAUCUGAUACUUGUCCCCUAUCUGGGGAACCAUAAUUAAAUGGAUUUUUGGAACAGGGAGAUGGAAGAAGAGCUUGCUCUGUCCACUCCAGCAUCGACCUCUU
rnacentral:snRNA from 1 species